rnacentral:rRNA from 1 species
GAAUCUGCCUAUUAGUGGGGGACAACAUUCCGAAAGGAAUGCUAAUACCGCAUACGUCCUACGGGAGAAAGCAGGGGACCUUCGGGCCUUGCGCUAAUAGAUGAGCCUAAGUCGGAUUAGCUAGUUGGUGGGGUAAAGGCCUACCAAGGCGACGAUCUGUAGCGGGUCUGAGAGGAUGAUCCGCCACACUGGGACUGAGACACGGCCCAGACUCCUACGGGAGGCAGCAGUGGGGAAUAUUGGACAAUGGGGGGAACCCUGAUCCAGCCAUGCCGCGUGUGUGAAGAAGGCCUUAUGGUUGUAAAGCACUUUAAGCGAGGAGGAGGCUACUAGUAUUAAUACUACUGGAUAGUGGACGUUACUCGCAGAAUAAGCACCGGCUAACUCUGUGCCAGCAGCCGCGGUAAUACAGAGGGUGCGAGCGUUAAUCGGAUUUACUGGGGCGUAAAGCGUGCGUAGGCGGCCAUUUAAGUCAAAUGUGAAAUCCCCGAGCUUAACUUGGGAAUUGCAUUCGAUACUGGAUGGCUAGAGUAUGGGAGAGGAUGGUAGAAUUCCAGGUGUAGCGGUGAAAUGCGUAGAGAUCUGGAGGAAUACCGAUGGCGAAGGCAGCCAUCUGGGCCUAAUACUGACGCUGAGGUACGAAAGCAUGGGGAGCAAACAGGAUUAGAUACCCUGGUAGUCCAUGCCGUAAACGAUGUC